UACGUAGGGUGCAAGCGUUGUCCGGAAUUAUUGGGCGUAAAGAGCUCGUAGGCGGUUUGUCGCGUCUGCUGUGAAAACCCGAGGCUCAACCUCGGGCCUGCAGUGGGUACGGGCAGACUAGAGUGCGGUAGGGGAGAUUGGAAUUCCUGGUGUAGCGGUGGAAUGCGCAGAUAUCAGGAGGAACACCAAUGGCGAAGGCAGCUCGCUGGGACGGUACUGACGCUGAGACGCGAAAGCGUGGGGAGCAAACAGG
rnacentral:rRNA from 1 species